rnacentral:tRNA from 1 species
UCCUUGGUGGCUCAGACAGUAAAGCAUCUGCCUUCAAUGAAGGAAACCCAGGUUCAAUCCCUGGGUCAGGAA